UACAGAGGGGGCAAGCGUUGUUCGGAAUUACCGGGCGUAAAGGGCGCGUAGGCGGCCUGUUAAGUCGAACGUGAAAUCCCCGGGCUCAACCCGGGAACUGCGUCCGAUACUGGCAGGCUUGAAUCCGGGAGAGGGAUGUGGAAUUCCAGGUGUAGCGGUGAAAUGCGUAGAUAUCUGGAGGAACACCGGUGGCGAAGGCGGCAUCCUGGACCGGUAUUGACGCUGAGGCGCGAAAGCCAGGGGAGCAAACGGG
rnacentral:rRNA from 1 species